AGUGAACGCUGGCGGUAGGCCUAACACAUGCAAGUCGAACGGCAGCACAGUAAGAGCUUGCUCUUACGGGUGGCGAGUGGCGGACGGGUGAGGAAUACAUCGGAAUCUACUUUUUCGUGGGGGAUAACGUAGGGAAACUUACGCUAAUACCGCAUACGACCUACGGGUGAAAGCAGGGGAUCUUCGGACCUUGCGCGAUUGAAUGAGCCGAUGUCGGAUUAGCUAGUUGGCGGGGUAAAGGCCCACCAAGGCGACGAUCCGUAGCUGGUCUGGGAGGAUGAUCAGCCACACUGGAACUGAGACACGGUCCAGACUCCUACGGGAGGCAGCAGUGGGGAAUAUUGGACAAUGGGCGCAGGCCUGAUCCAGCCAUACCGCGUGGGUGAAGAAGGCCUUCGGGUUGUAAAGCCCUUUUGUUGGGAAAGAAAAGCAGCAGGUUAAUACCCCGCUGUUCUGACGGUACCCAAAGAAUAAGCACCGGCGAACUUCGU
rnacentral:rRNA from 1 species